UACGUAGGUGACAAGCGUUGUCCGGAUUUACUGGGCGUAAAGAGCGCGCAGGCGGUCGUUCAAGUCGAGUGUGAAAGCCCCCGGCUCAACUGGGGAGGGUCACUCGAUACUGAUCGACUCGAAGGCAGGAGAGGGUAGUGGAAUUCCCGGUGUAGUGGUGAAAUGCGUAGAUAUCGGGAGGGACACCAGUGGCGAAGGCGACUACCUGGCCUGUUCUUGACGCUGAGGCGCGAAAGCUAGGGGAGCAAACGGG
rnacentral:rRNA from 1 species